CACCUUAAACAGUAUAGUUUAUUUGAUGGUCUCUUUUACAUGGAUAACCAUGGUAAUUCUAUGCAACUGGCAAUGCCUCCUUCUCUGGAGGGGCUGUGAUUAUACAAAACCAACCCACUUUGUGGAGUCCUGGUGAUUCAUAGUAACCGAACGGAUCGCAGUUGGCUUCGGCCCGCGAUGGAUCUUUCAAGUUUCUGACCUAUCA
rnacentral:rRNA from 1 species